rnacentral:rRNA from 1 species
UGCAUGGUUGUCGUCAGCUCGUGCCGUGAGGUGUCGGGUUAAGUCCCAUAACGAGCGCAACCCUUAUCGUUAGUUGCCAGCGGGUAAUGCCGGGAACGUCUAGCGAAACUGCCGGUGUAACCGAGAGGAAGGUGGGGAUGACGUCAAAUCAGCACGGCCCUUAUGUCCAGGGCUACACACGUGUUACAAUGGCCGGUACAGAGGGCAGCUACCUGUUGACAGGAUGCGAAUCUCGAAAGCCGGUCUCAGUUCGGAUCGGAGUCUGCAACCCGACUCCGUGAAGCUGGAUUCGCUAGUAAUCGCGCAUCAGCCAUGGCGCGGUGAAUACGUUCCCGGGCCUUU